rnacentral:rRNA from 1 species
UGCAGUCGAACGAUGAUCCCAGCUUGCUGGGGGAUUAGUGGCGAACGGGUGAGUAACACGUGAGUAACCUGCCCUUGACUCUGGGAUAAGCCUGGGAAACUGGGUCUAAUACCGGAUAUGACUCCUCAUCGCAUGGUGGGGGGUGGAAAGCUUUUGUGGUUUUGGAUGGACUCGCGGCCUAUCAGCUUGUUGGUGGGGUAAUGGCCUACCAAGGCGACGACGGGUAGCCGGCCUGAGAGGGUGACCGGCCACACUGGGACUGAGACACGGCCCAGACUCCUACGGGAGGCAGCAGUGGGGAAUAUUGCACAAUGGGCGCAAGCCUGAUGCAGCGACGCCGCGUGAGGGAUGACGGCCUUCGGGUUGUAAACCUCUUUCAGUAGGGAAGAAGCGUAAGUGACGGUACCUGCAGAAGAAGCGCCGGCUAACUACGUGCCAGCAGCCGCGGUAAUACGUAGGGCGCAAGCGUUAUCCGGAAUUAUUGGGCGUAAAGAGCUCGUAGGCGGUUUGUCGCGUCUGCUGUGAAAGACCGGGGCUCAACUCC